GUGACCUCUGUCUUGAUCACGCUUCGACCUCAGUCCCCAGUCCCGGCGUGAACGACCUCUCUCUCUGACCUCCGUCACAAUUGCAUAACGUCGGUGGUUGUCGUCUCUCUUUCUACUUCGCCGGAAGUCGAAGCUCUCUCUGCAAAACCCCAUCGAUCUGGGCUUUUUGACAUCUAUGGAUCGGAGCACCAUGAGCUCAAGGCCAAGGAUGAGAAUACCCUCCUCGUCGGUUAGCUAAUCGCCGUCUUUGGGCUCAGAAACUGGAGGUGAUCCCAUGGUGUCGGCUGGUGUUGAUAUUGUCCGCAGAUCUGUGCAACCCCUUUCAAGUAUGGCUGAGCUUUGAUUGCAUCAGUAUGACGUGGUUUUUGUUAUGUCCUUGUGAUUUCAUUUCGGUGACGGCGCUGGGUUUGGGCGAUAGGGUUUAUGCCAAGAUUUCUAGGGUGGAGAUGGAUGAGCGUCCACAGAGAUUGGAUGGAAUAGGACAAUCUCAAUCUGCAGAUAGAACCAAAUUUGUGCUUAGUUUUGUUUCUUGCAAUGUGUUAUUACAGUUGAAAAGUCUAGUGAUUUUUGCAGGUCUCAUUUUGUAACCUAUUGAUGUUCUACUGCAAAGACGGGAGCAAAAAGCAUUUACAAGGGCUUGUGCAAAUUACAGUUUUGGACCAUUGAGUGGUUUGUUUAUCUAUGAGUGGUUUGUCUAUGUAUGAACUACUGGGAUCACAUCCUUUCUGCUUAUCCAUUGUCUGUGUUGAAAACUAUAGGGUUUGUGGAUAUGAAGCAAGCUGAUCCUUAAGGCCAUAUUCUGAUAUGGGAACUUCCCAAAUGGGAGCAAAUGUCCAAUGGCCUUGAUAAGGCUCCAACGGCCUUGUUUUUUAAUGUUAAUGAUUUGCUCUUUUAAUUUUUUUUAUUGAUAAGGCUCCAACGGCCUUGAUUCCUAGUUUUCAAAGUAAUUUGUUAAAAGAAGAUGGACAUGAUUCAGGACUCAAGUAGACUAAUUAUAUUAAAAUAUAUAUAUAUGGUUA